rnacentral:rRNA from 1 species
UACGAAGGGGGCUAGCGUUGCUCGGAAUCACUGGGCGUAAAGGGUGCGUAGGCGGGUCUUUAAGUCAGGGGUGAAAUCCUGGAGCUCAACUCCAGAACUGCCUUUGAUACUGAGGAUCUUGAGUUCGGGAGAGGUGAGUGGAACUGCGAGUGUAGAGGUGAAAUUCGUAGAUAUUCGCAAGAACACCAGUGGCGAAGGCGGCUCACUGGCCCGAUACUGACGCUGAGGCACGAAAGCGAGGGGAGCAAACAGG